GAUGAACGCUGACAGCAUGCUUAACACAUGCAAGUCAACUGUGGCGGACGGGUGAGUAACGCGUAAAGAACUUGCCUCACAGCUAGGGACAACAUUUGGAAACGAAUGCUAAUACCUGAUACUGUGAGAGAGCUUUGCGUCCCAUUAGCUCGUUGGAGAGGUAACGGCUCACCAAGGCGAUGAUGGGUAGCCGGCAUGAGAGGGCGAUCGGCAACAAGGGGACUGAGACCCGGCCCUUGCUCCUACGGGAGGCAGCAGUGGGGAUUAUUGGACAAUGGACCAAAGUCUGAUCCAGCAAUUCUGUGUGCACGAUGAAGUUUUCGGAAUGUAAAGUGCUUUCAGUUGGGAAGCGGUACCAACAGAAGAAGUGACGGCUAAAUACGUGCCAGCAGCCGCGGUAAUUC
rnacentral:rRNA from 1 species